rnacentral:misc_RNA from 1 species
CAGAGUUUACAACUCCCAAACCCACUGUGAACCUUACAGCGUCGUUGCCUCGGCGGACCGCCCCCGGCGCGGCCCCUCUCAGGGGACGCCCGGGACCACGGCGCCCGCCGGAGGACCCAAACUCUUGUAUUUGCAGGAUGCAUUGCUCUGAGUGAAAACAAGCAAAUGAAUCA